GACGAACGCUGGCGGCGUGCUUAACACAUGCAAGUCGAACGAAGUGGCGAACGGGUGAGUAACGCGUAAUCAACCUGCCCUUCAGAGGGGGACAACAGUUGGAAACGACUGCUAAUACCGCAUACUGAAGGAGGGGAUUGCGUAUGAUUAGCUAGUUGGAGGGGUAACGACCCACCAAGGCGAUGAUCAGUAGCCGGUUCGAUAGGGUGAACGGUCAACUUGGGACUGGGACACGGCCCAGACUCCUACGGGAGGCAGCAGUGGGGAAGCUUCCGCAAUGGACGAAAGUCUGACGGAGCAACGCCGGGUGAGUGAUGACGGCCUUCUGGUUGUAAAGCUCUGUUAAUCGGGACGCGGUACCGGAAUAGAAAGCCACGGCUAACUACGUGCCGCCAGCCGCGGUAAUAC
rnacentral:rRNA from 1 species